rnacentral:RNase_P_RNA from 1 species
UGAGUCGGACCGGUGACCGCGGCCACCCCCGGGUGGCUGAGGAAGGUCGGGGCUCCACAGAGCAGAGCGCUGGCGAGAGCCAGGACGGGGCGACCUGUCGGUUCAGGGCAACAGAGAGAAGACCGCCGAUGGCCGGGUCCGCCCGGCACAGGUGAGGGUGAAACGGUGCGGUAAGAGCGCACCAGCGUCGGGGGCGACCCCGGCGGCUCGGCAACCCCCGCUCGGAGCAAGGCCAAGCGCGCCGCGGGUUGCUCGCCCGAUCGGCCAGGUGGGCCGCACAGAUGGAUGGUCACCCACGGGGCGUCAGCCCUGGGACAGAACCCCGCCUACAAGCCGGCUCACCAU